rnacentral:lncRNA from 1 species
UAAGAACACAGUGUAAGUAACUCUUUGAGAUUUGUGGAUGAGCAGGUGUGGUUUAAGGCUUGAAUUGUACCUCAGCUUUGUAUGCUUUGUGUACAUGACUGAGUUUGAGCCUUGUCUGAGGAAGCUAAGGAGCUCAUUUCACAUCAGUCUUGAAGCAAAGGGAUUCUCAGAACACGCAGAGCUAAUCACAGCAGGGUCAUAGGAGGCAGAUACGUUUGCAGGACUGAUGCAGAGCUCCAUUGCUCGAGGUGGAUCCUGAGGAAUAGUUGCUAUUUAUUGCAGCCCAAUGUAUUGGAAUUCAAAACCAAGGAGAUCGAUCAUCCUCGCAUCAGAUCUGAGGUUUGGUACAUAGUAUGCAUUUUUUGCAGUGUGGUGGAACAAAGCAAUUAUUUCACAGCUGAAGGAAAACCAGAAGAUAUUUAAAAAUGGAAAGUUCCCUUCCCAAGCCAUAAUGGAUGACGACGGUAGUAGAAGUAAUAUAUUCAGAGGGACCAAAACAGGAUAACAAUUUUUCAGAAGCUGAAGAAAUAUAUGAGGGAAGAAGAGAGAUUGAUACAGCAGCAUUGGAACCAGCUUUGUCCUUGGAUUGCAAGGGAAUGGAGAAAUGAGGUGUCUUCACAGAUCUUUCUUAUGUGACCAAGUGGCAGAAAAUGCUGCAGAAAUCUACUUCAGACAGUUAAGUAUUCAGGUUACUGAAAGCUGUGUUUACUAUUUUUAUAUCUAUGGUUGUGAGCUAAGUAUUUUUUUUUUUUUUUUUUUUUUUGCCUGUUCACAUCCUUGCUGCCUGCAGAGCUUCCCAGUUGCUAGGCUGUGUUUAAUAUAUUAUUUUCCCAUUGAGACACCUAUGCUCCCUGUCACAUCUCUGUUGUCUCUUUUCAGUACUGUAUGAGCCCCAUCUCUGGCUUCUCUAAAUGUUAAAGACCUCUCUUCCAGUUAUUUAUACAGUAUUUAAAAUACGUCCCUUAGUAAUCUUGACUUCAUCAGCCUGACCCCUCUGAACCACCAUUCGCCCUUGGUUCAUCAAAUCAGGUUCAGCCUUCUUGCCUUUAGCUUAGGACAUUUUAAUUCUUUUUUUCUGCAUAAUGUCUGUUUCUGUCUCCUAUAUUGAGAUUUAUUAAAAUUAUUUAGCCAUUUUAAGAUGAAACCGUAUGUCUAGUUGAGUGUUCAAAAUCAGUGACUACCUAAUUCCCCCUGAGACUAACACUCAUUCAUUCUCCUCAUUAACUUAGCAAGAGGACUUAGAGUCCAGCAUUGCAGAUUGUCUCCAGGCUUUCAUGCCUGAACUUCUCUUUCACUGUUGGGGGCAUAGAUCCUUCCUCUUCUGAGGACAAAGAAAUUUGGUGUCAUCCAGUCUGUGGAGAAAGUUUGCUGCAACUUGGAAUGCUGUUCUACCAAACAAUUCCUUUCUUCCAUCUGCGACACAAUUUUUUAGGGUUUUCCGAUUAAUCCAAAUACUGAAGAUAUUAUAAAGCCACAGAAACUGCUUUAGGCCAAAGAUGGCAAUUACAGCUAAGAGCUAGAGCUAACUGAAAGGCUUCCUAUUUUUUAACAUUUUUCUGUGGCUUUUAAGAUCUUUUUGUGUCACUCUGGAAUGAAAACCAAGUGCACAAAGACUUUUGGCAAAAAUGGGACUUUGCAAAAUGUUCAUCUUUGGCUCCAGAAACCGUUUUUCUUCUACUCUCAUCUUCUAGGAAGCCUAUUGUAGAGCUUAGAAAUAAUCCUGUCAGAACUUCAUCAAAGCCAGUAUUUGUUUUCAAAAUGUUCUAGUUUUGGCAUAAUAUUAGUUGGAGAAGAAAGUAUUUAAUCCAAAAUUUUCUGACUAGUUCCAUAAAUGUCAUUACAUUAAUUAGGUACAUAAGUAACAGUAGCUGAAUUAGCUAUGUUUACACAUGUCUAGUCAUCUGAAAGAAUAUGAAGUCAGACAGGACUCAAGGGUUGGCUCAGUAAGUGUCAUAAAUUUUAGUAACCCCUGAUCUUGAUGCUCAGUAGAACACAUCUGUGAACAAAACUAAUUGAAACAUCAAGAAAAAGUCAAAACAAAUGAAAAGCAUUAGCAAAAAAAAAAAAAACAAUUAUUAAUUUAGAGUAAUAUGUUAGGGUGAGUGGCAAAUUAAAUCGCUAUCCAAGUCCUGACACAGUUUUUUAUUUGAAACUAUAAUGUGAUUAUUGAUCAAAUGAAUUAAUUCUAUUUUGAUGGUAAUAUUAGCUUUUAAGUAACACAUAAACCUAAAAAUAGUUUAAUACAAGGCUUUCAGGGUCAUCAUCCUCCAAUAUUACUGUAAUCAGGAAUAGUUCCAAUGAAUAUAAUUAUGUUGUAUUCAUGAUACGAUAAAGGCUAUAUAAUUGAAAUCAAAUUUAGAGUUUUUUAAGGUUUUUAUUCAUUAUCUGAUUAGCCUACUACCUCAUAUGAAAGUAGUCAAGUCUUCUGAAUCUUACUCAUGCUGAGUGAAGACAUAUCUGGAUAUCGUGGAUAUUUCUGAGCCAGUUACUAUCGUACUCAUAUACAGUUUCUUCUGUAGUUUCUUUCUGGUUUUGUGUGUGUGCAUGUGCAUUUAUUUCAUAUGACUAAGAACCUCUAUCUAUCUGAAGAAUUGCAGGCUUUGGUUGCUAUUUCUCUACGGAAUGACUGGGAUGGUAUAUGAUGGUGCUUUGCAAAAGGAGCAGAAAUAAGUUAGCUUGAUGAAAUUUGUAGGAGAUGGCAGCAUCUGCUAACUCCAAACUCAGUCCUUGUGUUUGCUUUCGGUUCUUUUGAAACUAGUUUCUUGUGAUGUAUUUUAAAAUACAUAUUGUAGUACAGUUUUUCUCUAAAGCAUGCACUAUCAGAGAAUCACCUCUGAUGUAGAGUUGUCUUUUCAGACUUGCGGAACACAUUUCUUGUUUCUUAGAAUCUUUUAAAAUGUUGGUGUCUAGUACGACCCAAUGCACUGAAAUAUCUUGUAUAUAAUGCUAUUUUCUAAUGAACCGUGAUUCUCUGGUUCUGUCAAGAGUCGUGCUCAUAUUAGUAAAGGCUAAAGAGAGUACCAUUAUGUGUCUAGCAGAGAUAGUCCUUAACAGACUUGUCAAGUCUUAAGCAGUGUGCAUAAAAGAUGAAGCAUCUUGUUACAUCUGAUACCUCCAACUCAAGUGCUCCUAGGAAGUCACUGCCUUCCUCCCUUCUCCAGGACCAUGCAGGCCAGACAUGGCUUCUCACAUCACUCAUGGAGGGCUGGCUCCUUUGCUGCAGUCAUCUGCCAAACUCUUGUUACACUGAGAACCUCACAUCAGAUUAAAAGUUUCAUAGAGAUAUUCAGACAUCAGUCACUCACACCACAUCUCCUGCCCCCACAGCAAUACAACUGUAACCCCCCAAGAACUCUACAGAAUUUGACUUUGUAUAGAAAUUAAUAUUGAUUAGGUAGCACAACUGAAAAAACUUUCUAAAGUGUGCAGUAACAUAUAAAUUAGAAUUCUGUCCCUCCACCAUGUUCUGAACUAACCAUUUUCUGUUGAGAGUGAAGCCUGAAUGGAAUUAGCACUCACAACACUAUGCAGAGCAUAGUUUCAGAUUAAUUUAUAUGAUAUGAUGAUGAAAAUAAAGAAGACACCGACCAAAGUCUUCAGAAAUCCUAUGUUGAAAUAAGGAAAUACCUUUCCAUUUUAAUAAUUGUUGAUAUGGUCAGUGUCAGCUUUUUUAUACAGUAAAGGUAUGAAAGUCUGUGUUGUGUGAUUAGACAUUAAGCACAUUCAUUGAGGGACGAUUUCAUGGAGUCCCUGAUAUCAGUGGAGCAGUGGCAGCUGUUGGGCUUAACUUGGCCCAGGUUUAAGUACUUUUUUAAUUUGAAUAUGUUGGAGUCUAAAGUAGGAAUGAUCAUUCUUACUUUUCUUAUUCAUUCCAUUUUAUAGGGGCUUAAGAAACUAGGGGAAUCAGGCCCUUUGUGUAAUACAUAUCGUCUUACAUGAUUUCCAAUGAAGGAUAUUUUCAAGUAGGAGCUUAAGCUUAAAAAAAAAAAAAAAAAGAUUAACUUAAUUACUCUUGAGAUAUGGUAGAAUUCCAGUUGGCCACCUGAAUAAACAUACAAUUUUAUCAUUUUUUUCAGUGUUUCUGUGCUGCAGGAGUACAAAAGUACAGAUGCAUCUCAUGAGUAUAUAAUAAAGAGAAAAUAAGCUACCAUACCCUUUUCAAAAGAACUAAUCAAGUACUAAAAGGAAAAUUAAUGCAAAUAAAAUAUUGAUUAAGAACUAAAAGGAUUUUAAUUAUAUUACUUUCAGAAAUAAUUUAAUUUAACCCAAACAGACAACUAAGAGCAGAUAUUUCGCCUUAGCAUUUUUCAGAUUGCUAAUUAAAAUUUCUAGGAGGAAAUUCAAGUUUAGUGACUGGAUUUUAAAGAUAAAUAAUGCUUGCUUCUUUUCAUAAUAGUUUUAUAAAGGUUUACAUAGUGCCAAAAUAUAAUACUGCAUGCACAUUUUUUUUAAAAACAAUCAGAUAACCUGGAUGCUCCAUACAACCACUGGGGGUAUCGAGCACUCUUACAUUAAGAAAACUUGAAAAUUAAGUGUGUUAAGGUUAAAUAUCUGUCAUAUGUUUUUUAUGUAGAUUUAUAUCUACAUUGUUUAUGAAAUUCUUUGGAGAUAAUUGCUUUUUGGUAAGAUAAAGGCAAUUAUAGUGAUAGAGCACUCUUUGUGCUUCCAUUGCCACUGAGUAGCAAUUUUACUAUUUAUCUGAAAAGAGAUGUAUCUGAUUCUUUAUUCUCUGCCAUAAUGACUUGAUCCAAAAUCCAGUGAAGUAAAUGGAAAUUGCUCAUCACUCUAUAAUUUUGUAUAGCAUUUGGCUUUCAAUGCCACUGCCUACUUUACAUUGUAUUAUUUAUAAGACUGCUGAUCGCUUACAUAUACACCACGAAAUGGAAUGGGAAUGCAGUAAUACAGAGGCACAACAUUUGGAAGCUUUCUACAAAGAAUCUUUUACAACUACAAAUUCUUCACAGAGUAUUAAGGCAAACUGCUCAGAAUUUAAUUAAGCUCCUUUCAUCUUCUUUAGAUGCAGAGUGCUAAAUUAAAGAGAAAAAGAUGAUACUGAGCUACCUGUCCAAACACUUUAGGCAAAAAAAGGUAUAAUUAACAGUCCUUAACAUUAGAUUAGGGAGCAGUAUCAGAAAAUCCCCUUUAUGCCAAGACAGAGGGCUAGAACAUGCCAUGGGGACAUAACAAGAUUCAGAACCACUCUAAAGAAAAUUGUUACACAGAAGAAUCACGUGUCCCAUUAACCAGUGCUCCCUCUCUUGGGCCACUGUAUGUACACAUCAUAAAGCAUGUGACAUACAACUUCUAUGCAAUUUGAAACAUUUCCUAAAAAUUAUGCAAUGCAUGUCUGUGCUACUAGUCUCACUUUGUUAGUCUGCUCACUAGUCUCACUGGUCUCAAUUUUGAAAUUUUGAUUCAGUUAUAUCCAACUUUUCAACCAACUUGACAAGAGGAUUGAGGGGGUCUCAAAAUAUGAAAAUCAGAAGAGAUAGAAAAUCCCACAGAGCCCCUAAUAAUCUGCAGCACACUUUCGUGAGUUGCUAAGUAAUAGGUAAUCUAUAAAACGCAGCAAUGUUGCAACACCAGUCUAUGCAAAGCUUUGGUUUGGUCUCACUUCAUAACACUAGAAACUUGGAAGCACAUAUCUGAGGAAACCAGGCUUCACUACACUGUUGCUUAUGGAAGUAAUUCCUUUUAAGAGAUGAAUAGUAAUUUACACAUUAUUGGAUUAUCUAAUCAACAUAAAAAUGAUUUUACUUGAACACAGGGAAGCUUAGGAGUUUGUCCUCUCCAUAGGCUUUGUCAGAGAUGUAUUAUUGUGCUUGAUGGACUUGAACUGAUAGGGUUGCUUCUCUGUUCCUUUGGCUUAGUCAUGAACAAACAAAAACUAAUUUUGGCCACUCAGCAUUCUGUGAACCAUACAAUCCUCUGCACAUGAUACUUCUGCAAGAGUAAGCUUUAAAAACGAAACUCUUGUUCUCCGUAGGCACUAGAGAUGCAAAUUUGGUGGGACAGAAUCUGAAGGCUAUCUGUCUUCUCAGUUACCCUUUCUGCAACGUAAUAUUUCCUUUGCACUUUGAAGUGGUUGUAUUUAAGCUCAGUUGUGUACGUACAAAAUGAUCUCUGACGAUGAAAGGUAAUAUGAAACGAAAGAAAGACUUUGCAACAUGAAAGGCAUGAAAGAGGAAGAGAAGUAAAGGAGAUGCACUGUUGUUCACCAUUAAUCAUUUCAGCUGGCUACACCUACGUUAAAAAUGCAUGUGCAUGUAUUUACACAACACACAAACAUGCAACGAUGCAAACAGUACACUGCAUGUUUGUUAUGUACAUUGAGUGCAUGUGCGGCUACAACAGAAGUAAAUGAGAAUGAUGCUGAAACAUGAGGUGUAAGCUAAAGGGAACGUUUGAACGGCUGGAUGUUCAGCGAUGUAUGGAGCUGACAUUUGCAAAUCUAAGUUAUAUAUUCUGUUUUCAUUUCUCGACCCUGUCAGCUAAGCAAUCCUUCCACGAGACAGGAAGAAGGAAGAAGGGACAUAAUCCUGAGAGAGCCGAAUGAAUAUAUAUGUUUGCAAUUUCCCUUGAAAUCUGCACAGAAAAUAGGAGUCAACCAUAAAUUCAAAUAAAUCACUGCAAAGACUCACUGACAGAUUCUUUCCAUGCACCUAACGCAGCAAUUACAGAGUCUGGUAAAACUGAGACAGAAAUUGAAAACAGGUUAUUCAUAAAGAAACAAGACGGAAAGUGCCCAAACAAAAAGUGAAAUAGUUCAGAACCUGCCAGAAUCCUGCUGAUCUAUCAAGCUAAAGAAAAUACUGGACAUCAGCUGCCUCUUAUAGAAAUUCUUCUCUAGUCUGUGGUAAAAAAAGUUGUCUCCCUUUGUUCUAUUUAUAAGCAAAGGAAUCUUUUCAUUUAUUUAUUAAUUUCCUGAUUAUUCUGUAUUUUUCUAUCAUUCUCAGAGAACUUCCCCUUUCAGCCUCAGUUGGGUUGCAGUUUUCCAAAAGUGCCCCUUUUGGUGUCCUGUUGGCAGCUUCCCUGUUCUAUCCUACCUCUAAGUACUCUUGGUGCCCCACCCCUGCACCAUUUCUUAUACUCUGUUAACCUAUCUCCCCUUCUAGAACUGUUACUAACUGUAAUUUCAUCCAUUUGUUAUGUGCUUUAGAAAUGGGACUGCUUUAUCUGGGAAACAAGAGGAAUGUUUUUGAAAAUAUAUUUUAAAAUAUUAUCACAUUUUAAUUUCAAAAAAAGUAAUUGAGAUUCAAACUGAAAUAAUAAAGCGUGGCCAUAAACAUACUGAUGCUAUUCCAGCAGCAAACUGUAAAAGCACAGAUUAGCAUAAAAUGCCAGACAGACAAAAAAGGACUCUAUAAUGUGUUGAGGUCCAACUAUUAGAUUUUCAUACUUCAAUGUUUAACCCUUGAAGUUUACUGUGCAUUUCCGCGCUUUUAGGUCAGCCAGUAGAUAACUUGUCAGUCAAAUUAUGCAGAGAUAGUUUCUUCCUACAGACAUUAUCAUUUCUAGGAGACUGAAAUUGUUCUGAGCCAGCCCUUUUGCUUGCAAUUCAGUAACAGCAGGCAACGGGCACAGAUUGUCCCUGUAAAAGAUUUACUUUAGGUCUAGAAAGAGAAUAACAAUCUGUAGUGUCAUAAUAUGUUUGGCAGAUUCUCAUUGUUACAGGCUAUGCUCAUUCCUAGGAGAGAAAUGAAGCAAGUGCAAAGGAGCAUGACUAUAUUUUGCAGUACUAAACAAAUGAUUCAGAUAUCAAAUCACUGUCAAACUUCUACUUUUUUUCCUUCCAUGAGCAUCCCUACACAGCCUUCAAAGACCAUGAAAUUCUCAAAAAUAUCAAACUCUAUGUAGACUUAAAAU